CGCUCCGGCGGCCGCCAGUGCGCUGCUCUCCGCCGGCUCGGCCGCGCUGAGGGCAGGGCACUGGCAGCCUCACGCCUGGGGAUGGGCCCUGUUUGGUGCCCCGCAAAUCGCUUCUGCGAGCCGCCAUGGUGCUUGCGAGGACGGACGGAGCUGAUGGGGCGGUCCGGGCCCCCGGCGGGCAGAGGGGACCGAGGUGCUGGGUCUCGCUUCUGUGCAGGAGCGCCUGCGCCUGGGCGCCGGCUGCGAGUCCUGCUGUAAAACGUCUUAAAAGUGAACUUUUCAAGGCCCUUUUCACAAGUCACGCUGAAAUGAGUGUUUCUUGCUGCUUAAAGGGAAAAUUAUACCUGUGGUAGUACAGCUGCUACUCGUAGUAGAGCUGUGGAUACAGAUAGGCCUGCAGCCUUUUACGUGCCCAAGGUAAAGGCUCCUGCUGAAUUUUAGGAGAAAACGAUCCAAAUGUGUGCUUGGAUUCCCUGAAAAAGUUUGUUAAGACUCAAACUUAGGCAAGCAAAAUUAUUAAAUACCAUUUAAAUAUUAGUAAGUAUACUGCAAGUCGUAGUUUCUGUGCUGGGUGUUAGUAGUAAUUAUUAUAACUUCAAAGAGAGGUAUGCUCUCCUGUAAACACCAGAAAAAGACUAGUGCUUAUGAAGAGAAUUGACCAUGCAGGCAACCAAGAAAUCGAAGUACUCCCAUUGAUUGUGAUUUAGUUGCAUUCAUGAGCUACCUACAGGCUACUGGUGUCCUAGUCCUGAAGUUUCCAUCUGAAAAAUGAUGGAUUAAGAGCUGAAUUUCUUAUUUUUAUAGAUUUUAGGUUCUGUUCUCUUGCUUGCUUUCUUAAAAGCUUUAGGAUCACAUUGGAGUUUUUUUCAGCAUCUUAGCUAGAAACUUUACAGUUUAUUGGAAGAGUACAAAAUCUAGAACCUCAGUGAAGAGCAAAUAGCAUGGGUAUGUAAGUAGGAUCAGUCAUUUAGGUUUCUGAUUGAAAAUGCUUGAAGAACCCUCUCUUGAUCUUCUAUGAAUUUUGGUGAGGUUUUUUUGGAACCAGAAGCACUCCUAAGAACAGCUGUUUCUAAUACUAUGGCCUAAAUAUAAGCGUUUGAAACUUAUUAAUUACUUCACAGUAAUAGGAAAUGCAGUGAACAUAAGCCAAAUUACAGAUUCUAUUCCUCAUACUGACACCAAAAAAUAAUAUGUGAAAUUGGAAGAGCAUUCUUUUAACAAGGAGUGUUAUUUAAAGAUACUUUAUUUUCUUUAGCUCUGUCGAAGAAUGUAGUAGGAGAUGUGCAUGUUUGGGAGGAAAGAUGGUGUUCUUUCAAUCUGAUAUCCACUUUAAAUGCCCAUAAGGAUAUAAUUUUCUUGAAACAUAGAAAAGGUAAUUUUCCCCUAUCUUUCCAAAUAUGAUAAUUAUGGCUUUUUCUUUAGAAAUAGAUUCAAAAGAAAAUAACUACCAUUACUACUGCUUCUUUAGAAACAAUCAAUAGUGCUUCUUUAAAAAAAAACAAACAACAUUUUCCUGUUUUUGUUAUGGCACAAUUUCCAGUGAAGGUGUUUUUAAAUACCUUAAUACUGCUAUCUAUAACUUACAUCUCUGUUCAUUUUACUUGUUCACUAGUAUAUGUUCUUGAUUUUUUUUUUUUUUUAGUAAGUCAAAUGACAGUUCAGUCUACAAUGCACAGAACAAUAGGUUUCCUAACCUAUUGUUGGAAAUAGGUUCUAAUAUUGUUCUGCAAUAUGAAGUUAUCAGUCUAUGGACCAAACUACAAACAUCUCAUGUACAUAUUAUGUAUACAUUGGAUAUAUGCUGGAGGAAUGUUCACAGGAAGUAGUUCCUGUGUGCUCGCUUUGUUCUUAGAUGUUUAUGUGGUAUCUGUAUGAGGCAGCUGCUCCUGAUUUUUGCCUUGAGGUUGGUUUCUAGUCUGUCUAUUAUAUAAACAAAGUUUCCUUCUGAGAAGAAAGUAAAGAGGAAAACAACUAUGGGAAAAAACAAACAAUGGUGAAUGACAAUUUGGGAGGAAAACUAAGAGGACCUGCAACCUAUUGGGGGCAAAUAAGGACAGGGAGACAGAGCAAAACACCUGGCAGAGGACUUCAGUAAUGAUCGUCCUUCCUUGUAGAUAGUCUUUGGCAGAGCUGGUGUAGGAUAAUAACUAAUGGACCUUUGUUCCAUUGUUUUUUUGUUUUGUUUUACCUGGUAGUGUGUGAUAUUAUGUGUCUUCUAUUUAAGAAGAUGAUUGCAUAGUGUGAUUUACAGCUAAGUUCAGAGUUAAAAUAUCAUUCUUUAUUCUCCACAGAGCUUAAAACGACUAUGUUUUGAGAAUAGAUAAUUAGAGUAUGAUAUUAAUGAGGAGUCAAUUCAUGCACAAAGUGCAAAUUUUCAUUUGGUUUUUAUGGCCUUACGUGCAGCUGUCGUUUUACUUUAUCACCCCAUUUCUUCAUAGACAAAAUCUCUGGUCCAUGUUGCUUUCUGUAGAAAAAUUAAUGAAAAGACCUCUAGCACUCAUAUGUAUUUUCCAAUCUAUUGAUUGUAGAUGCUAACGUUGGCAGCUAUGCUAAAACUAGAGUCUCGUUUGCCACCAAUUCCAGUGCUUGUUAGAAUUGUCUAAUGCUUUUAAUCCCACUUCAUUCAGUUUGGUGCAUGUACUUCUAGAAGUGUUUUUCAGUUGUUUAAUCUAUGUCAUGUUUUGGGUUUUUUGGGGUGUUUUUGGUUUUUUUGGGGUUUUUUUUGGGUUUUUUUGUGUAUGUGGAAUUCAGCUCUUCUUAUUUGACAUUUUUUCAUUGAAAGAAAAACUUGAUCUUGGUUCCACUUAACUUGGUCUAAUAAACACCUCCACAGGAUACCGUUGUUACCUCAUAAAAAGGGAGAACCCUCAAUUUAUGUUCUAAUUUAUACCCAUAGGUUUUAAUGUACUUUCUGAAAGUGCUUGUAUUGUGAAACAAACCACGAUAGCUUCAAUAUGUAUUAAACAAACAAAAAAGGAAUAGUUGCUCUAUGCAUCGCUGUUAAACAUUAACUGUUUUGCCACUUCACGAGACGGUAAGUCACCCUAAGUAUUUUUUCUCUAAAAGUGUACAUAAGAUUCUUUGAUACCACAACAAUAUGAAGAAUGUGACAUCAGUAGAAGUAAUAGAAUGAUUAUACAUAGCAGAAUACCAAUUAAAAAGGGCAGGCAUUAUUUUCCUUCUGUGUCUACAGAUUUUUUGCUCAUAAUUACAGAAGUCAUUGAAGCAAAUUAAUCUAGUUUUCUGUACUGUUAUUAUACCUGAUAUAUGUUUCUAUAAAAUACUUAUUUCCUUGUUGAAGUACUUAAAAAAAAAAAAAAGGAAAAGUGCACUGCUACAGUAUAUUGAGAAUGUUGCUUUAUACUCUUAGGGCCUGAUCUAUGAACCAUAGGAAGUCUACCAAUUUUAAUGGACUUGGGCCCCUUCUAUGGUUCUUAGCUGCAUGUUUAUGUAUUUUCCGUAACAAGAUGUAAAAGAUUGUUGAAAAUGAUGAGUUAUUUAAAAAUCAAUUUCUGCAACUGAGAUGGCAACAUGCCCAAAGUGUUCUUACCCUACUACUUAACUUUCCUGUAGUUUCACAUGGUGAGAUUUCUGGAGCUUGGAUUUGCUCUUUUAAGUCCUCUGUAGUCAGACACAGAAACCUACAUGAAAAUACCUUUCUGUUUUCAAAUGCAGUAAUUUUAAGUUAUAAUUAUUUAAUUUAUUUAAAGUAAUUUCCCCUCUUUGUCUAUAUUUGUUAAAACUGCAUAAACUACUGGAUACUGCUUUUUCCCCAAGGGAUUUCAGCUUCAUUCACUAUAUGGAAAAAAAUCCUGUAGUCAUGUGAUGAAUGAGAUUUUUUUCUGAAAGACUCAUGCCUUAUUUGUUGCAGAAUUUGGAAUACAUACCAUUUGAAUAAAGCAGGAAGUGUGGAAAGAAAACGUAAAUUUUCUUUAAGAUAAUUGGACUGCUACUCAAUGAAUAUGGAUUCUGUCCUUGCCUCUGUGGACUUUUCAUCCAGAAGAAUUUCAAAUUGAAAAGUACAAGGCUAGAACUGGAUCCAGUAUUAUGCUUUAUUGCUUUCUAUCAAAAUCUCUGAAAGAGGAACAAAUUCUGCCUAAGAAUGAAUUGUGAAAGAGAGAACAGAUUCCCAUAAACUCUCUGAUUUAUCCAGUACCUAACAACUGGCAAUAUAAACUUAAAUUUUUAGAA